rnacentral:tRNA from 1 species
UCCCUGGUGGUCAAGUGGUUAAGACUCUGUUCUCAUAAUGCAGGGGGCCCAGGUUCAAUCUCUGGUCAGAGAA